rnacentral:rRNA from 1 species
ACUCAAAGGAAUUGACGGGGGCCCGCACAAGCGGCGGAGCAUGUGGCUUAAUUCGAUGCAACGCGAAGAACCUUACCUGGGCUUGACAUGUUCGGAAAUCCCCCGGAGACGGGGGGUCCUUUAUUGGGCCGUUCACAGGUGGUGCAUGGUUGUCGUCAGCUCGUGUCGUGAGAUGUUGGGUUAAGUCCCGCAACGAGCGCAACCCUCGUUCCAUGUUGCCAGCAUGCCCUUCGGGGUGAUGGGGACUCAUGGGAGACUGCCGGGGUCAACUCGGAGGAAGGUGGGGACGACGUCAAAUCAUCAUGCCCCUUAUGUCCAGGGCUGCACACAUGCUACAAUGGCCGGUACAGAGGGCUGCGAUACCGCGAGGUGGAGCGAAUCCCAAAAAGCCGGUCUCAGUUCGGAUCGGGGUCUGCAACUCGACCCCGUGAAGUCGGAGUCGCUAGUAAUCGCAGAUCAGCAACGCUGCGGUGAAUACGUUCCCGGGCCUUGUACACACCGCCCGU